GACGAACGCUGGCGGCGUGCUUAACACAUGCAAGUCGAACGGAAAGGCCCUGCUUUUGUGGGGUGCUCGAGUGGCGAACGGGUGAGUAACACGUGAGUAACCUGCCCUUGACUUUGGGAUAACUUCAGGAAACUGGGGCUCAUACCGGAUAGGAGCUCCUGCUGCAUGGUGGGGGAUGGAAAGUUUCGGCGGUUGGGGAUGGACUCGCGGCUUAUCAGCUGGUUGGUGGGGUAGUGGCUUACCAAGGCUUUGACGGGUAGCCGGCCUGAGAGGGUGACCGGCCACAUUGGGACUGAGAUACGGCCCAGACUCCUACGGGAGGCAGCAGUGGGGAAUAUUGCACAAUGGGCGGAAGCCUGAUGCAGCAACGCCGCGUGCGGGAUGACGGCCUUCGGGUUGUAAACCGCUUUCGCCUGUGACGAAGCGUGAGUGACGGUAAUGGGUAAAGAAGCACCGGCUAACUACGUG
rnacentral:rRNA from 1 species